UGUAAGAGUAUACCAAAGUUGUUGCAGUUAAAACGCUCGUAGUCGGAAUUUGGCAGUUCCGGAAGUGUGCACGUCGUAUGCGCACUUUGCAGGGACUGCUUUUGUGGUCUUGCGUAGGAUGAGGCACUUUCAUUAGUGAACGUCCUCACGCAACCACUCUUUACUGUGAGAAAAUCAGAGUGCUCAAAGCAGGCAUUUGCCGUGAAUGUAUUAGCAUGGAGUAAUAGAAUAGGACUCGGUUCUAUUUUGUUGGUUUGUUGGGACUGAGUAAUGAUUAAGAGGGACAGUUGGGGGCAUUUGUAUUCCGGCGCUAGAAGUGAAAUUCUUAGAUUGCCGGAAGACAAACUGCUGCGAAAGCGUCUGCCAAGGAUGUUUUCAUUGA
rnacentral:rRNA from 1 species